AGUCGUCUAUAUGGACCCUGUAGAAUCGAAUUUGUGUGAAUAUCUGAGUCACAAAUUCGUCUCUAGGGGAGUAUAUGGACGAUGCCAGAG
rnacentral:pre_miRNA from 1 species